GGUCAUCUUGAAGCCAACCUCUAGCCCAACCAACAAUACAAAAUCUCUCUUCCCCCCCCAACUUAAACCAUUCUGCACACUUAGUAUAGGCGAUAGAAAAGAACCAAAAUCAAGCAGGCGCUAUAGAGACAUGUACCGCAAGGGAAAGAUGAAAUAAUAGUGAAAACCCAAGCACAAAACAGCAAAGAUCAACCCUUAUACCUCUUGCAUCAUGGUCCAGCAAGAACAACCAAGCAAAGCGAACUUAAGCUUGCCCUCCCGAAACCCAAGCGAGCUACUCGCGAGCAGCUACAUACUGAGCGAACCCGUCUCUGUCGCAAAAGAGUGGGAUGACUUGCUAGUAGAGGUGAAAAGCCAAUCGAGCUGGGUGAUAGCUGGUUGCCUGUGAAAUGAAUCUAAGUUCUACUCUGAUAGCUCCCACUUCUUUGACGACCCCCCCAACAAACUGUGCAGCCACUCAGAAGCAAUUUAAAGGGGGUACAGCCCCUUUAAAAAAGAACACAACCUCCCUCAGCGGAUAACCCCCAACACAGCCCUAACUGUCGGCCUUCGAGCAGCCACCAACAAAGAGUGCGUCACAGCUCAUGUAUUAAAAAUAUGGCAACAAUGCGAAUCCCUACCCCGUAACAGGCCAACCUAUACCCAAUAGGAGAAUUCAUGCUGAAAUAAGUAACUAGGGACACCCCCUCCAAACGCGCAAACUUACAUCUCCACAUUAUUACCCAGAAUAAGAUACCCCCACAACCCACAAGACGCCGUAUCCCCUCACCCUGUUAGGCCAACUCAGGAGCGCUCAACGGAAAGAUUCAAAUCCGUAGAAGGAACUAGGCAAACCCCCAGGGCCCGACUGUUUACCAAAAACAUAGCCUUCAGCCCUCCAAGUAUUGAAGGUGACGCCUGCCCAGUGACACUAAGUUCAACGGCCGCGGUAUCCUAACCGUGCAAAGGUAGCGCAAUCAAUUGUCCCAUAAAUCGAGACUUGUAUGAAUGGCUAAACGAGGUCCUAACUGUCUCCUACGGACAAUCAGUGAAAUUGAUCUCUUCGUGCAAAAGCGAAGAUAACCCCAUAAGACGAGAAGACCCUGUGGAACUUCAAAAUCAACGACCACACCACACGACCCUCAAGCCUACCAGGCCCACCACCCAACCACAAACAUUGGUCCGUAUUUUUCGGCUGGGGCGGCCCUGGAGAAAAACAAACCCUCCAGAAACAAGACCCAACCUCUUAACCAAGAGCCACCCCUCAACGUGCAAACAGCCACCAGACCCGGUAUAACUGAUCAAUGGACCAAGCUACCCCAGGGAUAACAGCGCAAUCCCCUCCAAGAGCCCAUAUCGACAAGGGGGUUUACGACCUCGAUGUUGGAUCAGGACACCCUAAUGGUGCAGCCGCUAUUAAGGGUUCGUUUGUUCAACGAUUAACAGUCCUACGUGAUCUGAGUUCAGACCGGAGUAAUCCAGGUCGGUUUCUAUCUAUGACAGAUUCCCCCCAGUACGAAAGGACCGGAGGAAUGAGGCCCAUGCCACCAGCACGCCUCCCUCUCAAGUGCGGAACACAACUAAACCACCUAAAGAGCUCUCAACACCCGUCCAAAAAAAGGACU
rnacentral:rRNA from 1 species